rnacentral:RNase_P_RNA from 1 species
GGCAGCGCAGUCGCGCGAUAUGUUGCCGAAAGGUAUUAUCGCGAGGAAAGUCCGAGCUUCAUAGGGCAGGAUAGCGGAUAACGUCCGCCGAGGGCGACCUCAGGGAAAGUGCAACAGAAAUAAACCGCCGCGCAAGCGGUAAGGAUGGAAAGGCGAGGUAAGAGCUCACCGGCACGACAGGCAACUGUGUGCAACUGUAAACCCUAUCCGAAGCAACACCGUAUGGAAAAUGCCGCAAGGCAGUGUCGGCCCGGCACAUUUUUCCAGGUGGCAGAGGUAUGUAUACCCGAGCAGACCGGUAACGAUCUGCAAAGAUAGAUGACUGCGGGACGGUUUUCGUCAACAGAACUCGGCUUACAACCCCG